rnacentral:rRNA from 1 species
AGGGUUUGAUCAUGGCUCAGGACGAACGCUGGCGGCGCGCUUAACACAUGCAAGUCGAGCGAGAACCGGGGCUUCGGCCCCGGGGACAGCGGCGAACGGGUGAGUAACACGUGGAUAACCUGCCCUCGGCACCGGGAUAGCCCGGGGAAACCCGGAUUAAUACCGGAUGGCCCUUCCGGCUCUCGAGCUGGUCGGAAAAGGUAGCUUCGGCCUCCGGCCGAGGAUGGGUCCGCGGCGGAUUAGCUUGUUGGUGGGGUAACGGCCCACCAAGGCUCCGAUCCGUAGCUGGUCUGAGAGGACGAUCAGCCACACUGGGACUGAGACACGGCCCAGACUCCUACGGGAGGCAGCAGUGGGGAAUCUUGCGCAAUGGGCGAAAGCCUGACGCAGCGACGCCGCGUGAGGGAAGAAGGCCUUCGGGUUGUAAACCUCUUUUAAGAGGGAAGAAGCCACUCGGGUUAAUAGCCCAGAGGGUGACGGUACCUCUAGAAUAAGCCCCGGCUAACUACGUGCCAGCAGCCGCGGUAAUACGUAGGGGGCAAGCGUUGUCCGGAUUUACUGGGCGUAAAGAGCGUGUAGGCGGCCAGACAGGUCCGUUGUGAAAACUGGAGGCUCAACCUCCAGACGUCGACGGAAACCGUCUGGCUAGAGUCCGGAAGAGGAGAGUGGAAUUCCUGGUGUAGCGGUGAAAUGCGCAGAUAUCAGGAAGAACACCGAUGGCGAAGGCAGCUCUCUGGGACGGUACUGACGCUGAGACGCGAAAGCGUGGGGAGCGAACAGGAUUAGAUACCCUGGUAGUCCACGCCGUAAACGAUGGGUGCUAGGUGUGGGAGGUGUCGACUCCUUCCGUGCCGCAGCUAACGCAUUAAGCAC